rnacentral:rRNA from 1 species
GAUGAACGCUGGCGGCGUGCCUAAUACAUGCAAGUCGAGCGAAGCGGGGACGCGGGAGUAACACGUCGAGAACCUCCCAUAAGACUGGGAUAAAUUCCGGAAACCGGAACUAAACCCGAUAAUUAUAGCUGGAUCCGGUCGGGAUUAGUUAGUUGGUAGGCUAACGGCUUACCAAGGCAACGAUGCAUAGCCGACCUGAGAGGAUGAUCGGCCACACUGGAACUGAGACACGGUCCAGACUCCUACGGGAGGCAGCAGUAGGGAAUCUUCCGCAAUGGGCGAAAGCCUGACGGAGCAACGCCGCGUGAGUGAUGAAGGCCUUCGGAUCGUAAAGCUCUGUUAUUAGGGAGGCGGUACCUACACAGGAAGCCACGGCUAACUACGUGCCAGCAGCCGCGGUAAUAC